AUUGAACGCUGGCGGCAUGCCUUACACAUGCAAGUCGAACGGUAACAGGUCUUCGGAUGCUGACGAGUGGCGAACGGGUGAGUAAUACAUCGGAACGUGCCCGAUCGUGGGGGAUAACGGAGCGAAAGCUUUGCUAAUACCGCAUACGAUCUACGGAUGAAAGCAGGGGACCGCAAGGCCUUGCGCGGACGGAGCGGCCGAUGGCAGAUUAGGUAGUUGGUGGGAUAAAAGCUUACCAAGCCGACGAUCUGUAGCUGGUCUGAGAGGACGACCAGCCACGCUGGGACUGAGACACGGCCCAGACUCCUACGGGAGGCAGCAGUGGGGAAUUUUGGACAAUGGGCGCAAGCCUGAUCCAGCCAUGCCGUGUGCAGGAUGAAGGCCUUCGGGUUGUAAACUGCUUUUGUACGGAACGAAAAGACUCUGGUUAAUACCUGGGGUCCAUGACGGUACCGUAAGGAUAAGCACCGGCUAACUACGUGCCAGCCGCCGCCGUAAGAC
rnacentral:rRNA from 1 species